AUCUGAGAGGAGCUAAUUGCAUUUUUGACAAAUCUGAGGAAAGAUUAGAACAUUUUAAAAUAACAUUUUAAAUCCGAUCAAUCAAAUCUGACAAAUUUAAGAAGCUGUUUGUGCAUUUUGAUUUCCUCAGCUAUCCGAUUUUCAGUUAGUAGGACGUUUCUGCGCAAUGCAGGCUCAACAAGGAUUGAGCUUGUCCGAAGAUCCAUCGAGAAAAAAGAACAAAAGAAGAAAAUUCCUAAAAGAUCAUCAUGGCUGUUUCCGUCUCCCAUCCUUCAAUGAUUCAAUUCAUAUUUUGGAGUCAUUCUUCUGUUAUUCCGCCACUUGCCCGGUUCCCCAAUUUCUCGUAUCGUAUAUCAUUUUUCUUUUUCUUCAGUAUCGAACCCACCGAUGGAUGCGCCACUCAUCGGAGGAAGAUUGCCUAGCUCUUCAAUCAGAGUCGGCAAGACAAACUAAUGCGUGGCCCGGAUGCCCUAAUCGGGGAAUUUGUGCCAUUGAACGGGUUUGACCCAGCUUCCCCUCCUGACAAUCCUGGUUUCCCUCUUGACGCUUCUUGAACCCAGCCAUGGCACACAUCCUUCAGCCAUGAAAUCAUUCGCCUCUUUCAGCUUCUAGCCAUUACAAAUGCAUUUCGUCAUUCCUGAGCGGCUGAGCCUCAAAGAAUGCAAGCUUCUAAUGAAUUUAGGAGGCUAGGUUGCAUUUCUUCGCACUCGAUCUGCCCCUCUGAAAUCUCAACUAAUUGUGGGCAUCAGGCCAUGUUCUUUGGGUGACUGGAUCAGAGCUGAAUGCCUGAAUCCAACUAAGUGCUUCACCUGUUGAUUGGUUGGCUCUCAUUCAGUUGAUUGUCCAAGUAAAAUCUCUCCGCUGUUUAUUCUGUGAGCAUGAAUGAUUUGAACUGUUUUCUUAUUCUUUUUAGGUUUGCUAAACUGGGACAUGCCUGGAUUCAUGACGGUUAUUGGCUCCAUGUAUUGUGGGGGACACAGUUUGUUUAUUCUACCCAAAAUUUAUUUAGUAGUUUGGUACUGUAGUAACCCGACCCCAGAAAAAAAAAAAAAAAAAAGAAGAAGAUAUUUUGGAGAAGAUAUUUUGAAAAGAGAUAUUUUUAGAUAUUUAUAUAUAAAUAUCUUGGAGGAGAUAUUUAUUUAGAUUACUUAAGGGCUAAGUAAGGAUUUAUUCUAUAAAUUCUCUUAUCCUCUCUCAUUCUCUCAUUCUCUCUCUCUAAGAUCCUUCGCCGUUCAUCGUCCGUUUCCAAAAACGGAGGGUACUGUGUGGAUCAGAAGAGGAAACUCUACACUUUUAGUGGAUCGGAUCGUCGUUUCGGAGAGUUUCGGGUUUUCCCAAGAAUCGAGGUUUUCGGGAUCUCGGGUUGUUGUUUUGGACCGUUUUCGUACGAAGUUUCAUUUCGAAUAUAAGGUCCAUCCGUGCGUCGGUCCUAGUAGAUAAAAGGACUAGGGAGGUUAUUUUGGUUAGCUUACGUAAGCAUCUAAAUUUUUGUACUAAACUUGAUGAAAGUCCUUUUUGGAGGAUUGUAAUAUGACGAUUACUCUAAGUCCGAAUGUAUGUAAAUUAUGGAUGUAUUAGUGAACUCUGGUAUAAGGCUAGUAGUAAUCCCAAUGGAUGUUUAUGUUUUUCCGCGACAUUUACAUCAUGAUUAUGUAUGUUUUACACCCGUAUGUCCCUGUUUAGGGCAGGUUGUUUCCAUAUCUUGAACAGGUAUAGGUAUUUGAUGUAUGUGAGUGACACCUGAGUCCGUGUAAAGGGCCGGGUCGUUACAGGUACAGUUUGAGUAACACUUUAAUAACCACUCGUACCAAUGCUAAAAUUCAGGAAUAGAUUUGAGAGACCUCAUGACACAACCCAUUGAGCUUAUAUUUUUUCCCUUUUACAAAUUUGAAAGGGGGGGGGGGGGGGGAUUGGUUGUUUCAAGAAAAAGUAACACCAUCAUGCUGUCUGAUGGUUGUGAGAUAGGCAGUGUGGAGAAAGUUUGGGAGGACUAGUAGGCAAAUUAAGCAGAGAGAAACAGAACAGAGUGCAGGCAAUCAUGUGGUUCUCCCUGCAUUCAUGGAUGGAAGCAGUAAGCAGUUGGACGAAAAGACAGGUUCCACUAUGAGGACAUUAGAAUGUCUAAAACUUGCUCAUCAAUCAUGACGUUUCACUGUUUGGACACCCCCACCCCCCUGGCCCCCCAAAAAAUCUUUCGAGUCCCAUACAUAAGCAAGUAAAGGUUUCAUUCUACUAGGGCAGGAAACCAGCCCAAGGCUGUGAUUUGCAGAGAAGGAAAAGGGAUGGAAACUGAAAGCUGCAAGAGAUAGAAAGUGGAAGGAGCUUUGAUUGGUUGAAGAAGGAAGUGUUUAGUAAAAAGCUACUAUCCAAUUUGAGUAGCAAGAUUCUUUCCAUGUAUUCUUUUUUCCACUUUUGAAGAGUGGAAUUUUGUAUGCGAGAGGAAAAGGGCAUUUUCCUCUCAUUUACCUUGGUUUUCCACCACACUAUUAGAAAGAAAAUAUCUUCACAGGCAUUCCCUUUCUCUUCCUUUCUUUUCUUUCCUACCAUUCGGAGUCUAAAUUACUGCAUAUGCUACCAUUGGUGGAAUUGAAGGAACUCUAGACAACACAUGCAUUAUUAUUGUAGACAAUGCAAACUCCCAUUAGGCAGAGACAUUAUGUGGCAAUUCUCCCCAUUUUUUUGGGUCAGGAACUUCUCCUGUGCCCAUCAAGCAUAAAAUGUCAUCAUGUUUUUAUUUAUUAUUUUGUUAUUAAAAGUAAAAAUUUGAUUUGUUGACAGAUGUAAGUGUUGGUAUUACUGUAUUAAUGUUAGAUGUUUCAAAUUAAAAAAUAUAUGUUUAAUAGUCGUCGGUUUUAUUUUAAUUAAAUAUAUGUUAAAUUUUAAUAUAUUAAUUAUUUUUAAUGUUUUGAAAAUAUUAACGACUACUUUAAUGGUUUUGUAUUUAUGAUGCUGGAAGUUAUACUUAAUUUUACCUAUAUGAACUGUGAUCCAGUUUCAUUUCAAGGCACAGUUUUUUCUUUUUCAUAUAACUUUAUCUUCUACUUUUUCUAGAGAUUUAUAUUUUGUUGGAUAACUAAACGACACUACAUCUCUUAUAGCUUUGAUGUUUGUGAGUGCACAGAAAACCGAGCCAGUUUAGUAAUCCUGGAGGUCGUGCAUGCAAUGACUAUAUGCGCCAAGAAAUGUUAUCUGUAGGCACGAAAUCAGCUUUAAGGACAGUCCACGCCUCAUCUUCUAAUAAGUAUUUGUAUUUUUAUGUAAUAUUAAUUUUAUUAGUAAAUAUUUUUGCUUCUAUUAUAUUUUCCAACAAUCUUAAAGUUGAAUGCUAUUAUCUAUUUUUGAAGGGAAAAAAAAAUUGCACAUGUUGAAAAAUUUUUUUUAAAAAAAAAUCUCUUUUUCCCCAAUUAUACGAUUAUGUGAUUUUUGUAAGGCACAUAAAUUUAUGUGAAAUAGAUGGUGGUGCAUAUAUAUACAAUUAACUUACUAUGUUCGAUAAUUAUUAUUAAUACUUUUGCAAAGUAAGAUAGGUGCAAAUUAGAUAGUCUUUGCACGGGAGCAGUAGUGUGGUGAUGGAGUCAUCUAAUUAGAACACGUCAUAAAUGACAUAGGAAAAUAAAUUGGAACAUGAUAAUCAAUACACAUAGAUGUAUAAUUUUGUAGUGCAUUCUCCAAAUGGAUAAUAGGCACAUAGCCAUAGUAUUGACAUUGACUAGUGUAUCUCUGGACUAGUCUGAACUAUUUCAAUAGUCAAAUUGGGUUAUUGUUAAUGUGAUCACAAAAUGUUGGGGUACCUAGUAUCAAUAUGAUCAAAAUAUGAGAAUUAAGAAACAACUGUUGAUUAAUAAAUUCCUUAACUAAAGGAUUAGCUAAAAAGCUAAUAUAAAAUAAACAUAAAGGGGGAUGUGUCUUAAGCCUUAAUAUAAACUACUAAUGAUGGCUACCUAAUUUAUGUGAUUAGAGAUCCCAUGAAUUAGAUUCAAUGGGUAAAAACAUGUCAUUGAGUAGUUUGGUGAGCACUAUUACUUGUCUUGAUAAUCCCUAUGGUGUUUGAAUGGUGCAACUGUAACAAUUGUGAGAUUGUGUUUGUCUUUUAAUAAAUUCAUAUCCUUUGUUAGGUGGUGCGUUUAGUUACAGUUACACACUUGAUGGAUUUACCUAUGUGAAUGUAAAAGUGGGGCUGUCUCCUAUGAAAGUUUAUUGGUCUAUAACUUUCUAGAGCACUCAUGAAUAUCCAGGCAUGGUGCAUAUGACCUAUUUGUACCAAUCUACAGGAGCUCUGUCUAGAGAUGUUGUGUGAGGUGAUAUGUUUAUAGUGUUACGCUAAAAAAAUUUAGUUCAAGAAUUUAAUAUUCACCAAGUUCUUGUAACUCAUAACAUAUUUUCUCUAAGUGCAAUUCAAACUGAAAGGUAUUGUCACCUAAUGCAUUAUAUUUCGAGUUUAUCCAACAUUGGUUUUUUAUCUUUCUUUGCUUGUUUUAAUUUGAACCAUGUGGGAGAUUGUUGGCAUUACUGUAUUAAUGUUAGAUGUUUCAAAUUAAAAAAUAUCUUUUUAAUAGUCGUUGAUUUUAUUUUAAUUAAAUAUACAUUAAAUUUUAAUAUAUUAAUUAGUUUUAACAUUUUUAGAAUAUUAACUACUACUUUAACGGUUUUGUAUUUAUGAUGCUAGAAGUUAUUCUUAAUUGUACUUAUAUAAACUAUGAUCCAGCUUCAUUUCAAAGAUAUGGUUUUUUUUUUUUCUUCUUCUAAUAACUUUAUCUUCUACUAUUUCUUGAGAUUUAUAUUUUAUUGGGUAGCUAAACAACACAACAUCUCCUAUAGCUUUGGUAUUUGUCAGUGCACACAAAAUUGAGCGAGCUGAGUAAUCCUCAAGGUCGUGUGUGCAGUGGCUAUAUGCACCGAGAAAUGUUUUCCAUAGGUGUGAAAUCAGCUUUAAGGAUAGUGGUCUUUCCACGCUCAGCUUCUGAUUAGUAUUUAUAUUUUUAUUUAAUAUUAAUUUUAUUAGUGAAUACUUUUCCUUCUAUUAUAUUUUCCAACAGUAAGUACUGUCAUAGAUUUCUUUUUUGAGGGUUGAGAUUUUAAGAAUAUAAUGGAACAUGACAAUCAACAUAAGAAGAUCGUGAUUCCAUUUCUUACUAAAAAUGUCAGGAGAAAAUGUAUACUUUCGCUCAUCAGCCUCAGGGAACUAAAAUAGGUAGAAGAAAUUUGAUUUGCUCCUUUUUCUUGCUUGAUGCCUCCAAGUCAAAAUGAGCUUUUAUCGCAUAAUACCAUUUCAAAUUCAUGGAUACCCUAUCAAUUUUGCUGCUGCUGGUUUUGAUGUGUUCACGUUUGGUUGGGAUUGUGCUUCUUGAAGCUUUCAGGUGUACUGUUUUGUACUUGACUUGUUGGCCAUAGUCAAUUAAAGUACAGGAGCUGCUGUUUAUGUUCUGUUCUGGUUCUAUACUAUGGAGCUGAAGUACUUCCUCUGCUGCACGCAAACUCAAGAAGUUGCUGUGUUACCAAUUUUGGGAGUUCUCUUUCCAAAGCCAGUAUUGCUUAUUCCAGAGGCUGAAACGGAAAAACUUGACUGCAAGGCCUUCCGUUGAAAGUCCUUGGCAUAUGCAAAAGAAUUUGAUAUUCCUUUUAGUGGUACCACAGCUAAAGGAAAGCAUUAUUGGGCACCUUCUCAAGGAACACACCCAUCAUUCAUUUCUAAAGAUUCUAUGCAUGUAGAGGGGAUCCGCCCCAUUGGAGGAGGAAAGUAAAAAAAUACCACUAGAGAGUAAUUCCUUCAAACUGUCAAGAAAAGGGGAAGAUCCAGUUUGUAACGAAAGGGGAGGGAAGCGUAAAAGAGAACGUGUUAUGGAUCGAUUUGAGAGGAGUAUUUAGGAGAUUUGUGCUGUCUUUUGCACUGCUCAACAAUCUUAUUACACUUUGGAAGGAUGCAUCAUUAAAUUUAAUAAAAUGGAAGAUUUGGUUCCUAAAAGGAGUUGACAUACAUAUGCAUGCAUGAUCCAAUAUAUCGAGAGACAUGGAUGCUUGAUGGAGCCCAAUUGUGCAUGAGAUUGUACUUGAACUAGUUUGAGCCGUAAUUGAUUUUUCAUUUAUAGCUGUUAUUCAUGUAAUAUUGAAUUUUAUUGAUUUCAAACCAUUGCUAAUUAGCUAUAAUUGAUUUUUUUAUUUUU